rnacentral:rRNA from 1 species
AGCAGCCGCGGUAAUUCCAGCUCCAAUAGCGUAUAUUAAAGUUGUUGCAGUUAAAAAGCUCGUAGUUGAACUUCAGGCCUGUCCAGAUGGUCCGCCUUAAUUGGUGUGUACUGUCCUGGGUGGGUCCUACCUUCUGGCGAAGCGGCAUGGCCUUAGUUGGCUGUGUCGGGGAACCAGGACUUUUACUGUGAAAAAUUAGAGUGUUCAAAGCAGGCAUAUAUGCUCGAAUACAUUAGCAUGGAAUAAUGGAAUAGGACGAUGGUUCUAUUUUGUUGGUUCUAGGACCGUUGUAAUGAUUAAUAGGGAUAGUUGGGGGCAUUAGUAUUCAAUUGUCAGAGGUGAAAUUCUUGGAUUUAUUGAAGACUAACUACUGCGAAAGCAUUUGCCAAGGAUGUUUUCAUUAAUCAAGAACGAAAGUUAGGGGAUCGAAGACGAUCAGAUACCGUCGUA